rnacentral:rRNA from 1 species
UACGGAGGAUGCAAGCGUUAUCCGGAAUGAUUGGGCGUAAAGCGUCCGCAGGUGGCUAUGUAAGUCUGCUGUUAAAGAGCAAGGCUCAACCUUGUAAAGGCAGUGGAAACUACAUGGCUAGAGUGCGUUCGGGGCAGAGGGAAUUCCUGGUGUAGCGGUGAAAUGCGUAGAGAUCAGGAAGAACACCGGUGGCGAAGGCGGCCCCCUGGGCCGAACCUGACGCUGAGGCGCGAAGGCUAGGGGAGCGAACGGG